GCCCGCGUAGCUCAGGGGACAGAGCAAUGGGUUUCUAACCCAUUGGCCGCAGGUUCGAAUCCUGCCGCGGGUA
rnacentral:tRNA from 1 species